ensembl:lincRNA Gm26540 predicted gene, 26540
GUAAGUAUGUUAAGCACAUCUAACACUGAACUCACUCCAGCCCCUCCUUGGAUGCCUUUUAUCAUACCGCAAAAGCAAACUUCUUUACAAAGCUCAACGGUCCAUUGGAUUGAGCAAAAUUGUACAUGUAUUUUUUUAAAAAAGGGACAUAAGUUAAAAGAGACAGAAAGUCUCCCAGUUAUUCUAAAUGAUAUUGAAAAAAAAUAGUUACAUAAGAAACAAAGAUUUCAGGGUGGAGAGAUUUUAUUACUCAAAACAAAGACUUGGAGAACAAGCUUUUGAAGAAGUUAAAAAUUUGGCAAUUUUAUUUGUGCUGAGGACAGAACCCAGGGUUUUGUAUUUACUACACAGGCAUUCUACCACUGAGCUACAUCCCCAGCCACUGCACAUUUAAUAAGAUACUUAAAAAAAGAUUUGUUUUAUUUCAUGAGAGUUUUGCCUACACGAAUGUAUGUUCACUAUGCUGGGUGCCCAAGGUGGUUAGAAGAGUGCAUCCGAUCCUCUGGAACUGUAGUAAUAGGUGGGUGUGAGGUACCAUGUGGGUGCUGGCAAUGAACCUGGGUCUUCUGCAAGAGCAGCCAGUGCUCUUAACUGCUUAGCUACCUCUCCUUGCCAAUUUAACUUUAGUUACUAUGUAGGAUAUUAAUCUUGGUCCCAGGUAUUUGCUUUAAAUUUAUUUGCACACACGCAAAUAAAGUUUUGAUUUUCAUUUUCUAUGAGGUGAUUCUAAAGCUUUGUACUAAGUUUUUUGUUUGUUUGUUUUUGUUUGUUUGUUUUUAAAUAGCACAGCACGAAGGAUGCCUGUUGUAUGGUCCUUACAGAAGUCAGCUUGUACGAUUAUAUGCAUCUGUUUUGAGCAAUGUUACCAUUGUGAUGCAUUUCCCAUAUUGAUUCAGUUUGUUAUAGGUCACAUAAGAAGCCUUACUUCUUUAUCAUUUGCAAUGGGUAACCCCAAAUUCAGUGGAAACAUUUUUCUUUUUUAUCACACCCUAAGGUCUUUACAGUGUUUCUACAUAUUAAAUUUAUCCUGUACGGCUAAGAUUUAUCGCCAGUGGGAAAUUCAAAGGAAUGGGCUAUGGGUCAGUCAAGCAGCUCCCACGAGGCCCAGCUGUCUGAGCAAGGCAUAAGGCUAGCCAUUAGCUCAUCCAAAGGACAUCAUGUGGAACAAAAAACUUUAUAGGUAAUUUUUUUUUUUUUUUUUGGUACUACUUUUUAAGUAACAGUUUUAAACUUAAGCUGGAAUGCAACUCUGCUCCCAUUUUUUAACCACAGAUGUAAUGCCUAAGACAUUAAGAACAGUUUGGUAGGCAGGGCUCUCACAUGAAUCC